rnacentral:RNase_P_RNA from 1 species
CCAGGAGGCUGGGCAGCCGCGUCACUUAUGUGCCGAGGAAAGUCCGGGCUCCACGAAGUAAGGGUGGCGGGUAACGCCCGCCGUGGGCGACCACAGGGAAAGUGCCACAGAGAGUAUACCGCCGACGUUCCUGCAAAGGAGCGGGCAAGGGUGAAAGGGUGCGGUAAGAGCGCACCGGGGGCCUGGUAACAGGUCCCGUCACGGCAAACCCCACCCGGAGCAAGGCCGAAUAGGGAUCCCGCGCCAGCCCAUCGUAAUAGAUGGCGGCAGGAACGCUUCGUUCCGAGGAGGUCCGGGUUGGCUGCUCGAGCGCGUCGGCAACGGCGCGCCUAGAUGAAUGGCUGCCCCCUGCCGUUUUGCGGCAGGGACAGAACCCGGCUUACAGGCCUCCUGGCACC